rnacentral:rRNA from 1 species
AUACGUAGGUGACAAGCGUUAUCCGGAUUUACUGGGCGUAAAGGGCGUGUAGGCGGAGAUGCAAGUCAGGAGUGAAAUCUAGGGGCUCAACCCCUAAACUGCUUUUGAAACUGUAUCCCUUGAGUAUCGGAGAGGCAGGCGGAAUUCCUAGUGUAGCGGUGAAAUGCGUAGAUAUUGGGAGGAACACCAGUGGCGAAGGCGGCCUGCUGGACGACAACUGACGCUGAGGCGCGAAAGCGUGGGGAGCAAACAGGAUUAGAUACCCUGGUAGUCCACGCUGUAAACGAUGAAUACUAGGUGUGGGGGGACUGACCCCCUCCGUGCCGCAGUUAACACAAUAAGUAUUCCACCUGGGGAGUACGAUCGCAAGAUUGAAACUCAAAUGAAUUGGCGGGG